GGGGAUUAGCUCAGCUGGCUAGAGCAUCUGCCUUGCACGCAGGGGGUCGCGGGUUCGAAUCCCACAUCCUCC
rnacentral:tRNA from 1 species